rnacentral:rRNA from 1 species
GUGUCAGCAGCCGCGGUAAGACGGAGGAGGCAAGCGUUAUCCGGAAUUAUUGGGCGUAAAGGGUCCGCAGGUGGCAGUUCAAGUCUGCAGUCAAAGGUCGGGGCUCAACCCCGGAAAGGCUGUGGAAACUGAACAGCUAGAGUACGGUAGGGGCAGAGGGAAUUCCCAGUGUAGCGGUGAAAUGCGUAGAGAUUGUGAAGAACACCGGUGGCGAAAGCGCUCUGCUGGGUCUGCACUGACACUGAGGGACGAAAGCUAGGGGAGCGAAAGGGAUUAGAUACCCCUGUAGUCCUAGCUGUAAACGAUGGGUACUAGGCGUUGUCCGUAUCGACCCGGGCAGUGCCGUAGCUAACGCGUUAAGUAUCCCGCCUGGGGAGUACGCACGCAAGUGUGAAACUCAAAGGAAUUGGCGGGG